rnacentral:rRNA from 1 species
CGUGCAUGGUUGUCGUCAGCUCGUGUCGUGAGAUGUUGGGUUAAGUCCCGCAACGAGCGCAACCCCUAUUGUUAGUUGCCAUCAUUCAGUUGGGCACUCUAGCGAGACUGCCGGUAAUAAACCGGAGGAAGUGGGGAUGACGUCAAAUCAUCAUGCCCCUUAUGACCUGGGCUACACACGUGCUACAAUGGUUGGUACAACGAGUUGCGAGUCGGUGACGGCGAGCUAAUCUCUUAAAGCCAAUCUCAGUUCGGAUUGUAGGCUGCAACUCGCCUACAUGAAGUCGGAAUCGCUAGUAAUCGCGGAUCAGCACGCCGCGGUGAAUACGUUCCCGGGCCUU